rnacentral:rRNA from 1 species
CCUACGGGAGGCAGCAGUAGGGAAUCUUUCACAAUGGGCGAAAGCCUGAUGGAGCAACGCCGCGUGCAGGAUGAAGGCCUUCGGGUCGUAAACUGCUUUUAUAAGCGAGAAAUAUGAUGUUAACUUAUGAAUAAGGAUCGGCUAAAUACGUGCCAGCAGCCGCGGUCAUACGUAGGAGCCGAGCAUUAUCCGGGGUGACUGGGUGUAAAGAGUUGCGUAGGUGGCAUAAUAAGUAGCUAGUGGAAUCUGGUGGCUCAACCAUUCAGACUAUUAGCUAAACUGGUAAGCUCGAGACCGUUAGAGGUAACUGGAAUUUCUAGUGUAGGAGUGAAAUCCGUAGAUAUUAGAAGGAACACCAGUAGCGUAGGCGAGUUACUGGGACAGUUCUGACACUAAGGAGCGAAAGCGUAGGGAGCAAACGGGAUUAGAUACCCCAGUAGUC